GACGGAGGGUGCAAGCGUUGUUCGGAUUGACUGGGCGUAAAGGGCGUGUAGGCGGUUUGUCAAGUCGGGUGUGAAAGCCUGGGGCUCAGCCCCAGAAGUGCAUCCGAAACUAGCGAGCUAGAGCGCGAUAGAGGAGACUGGAAUUCACGGUGUAGCAGUGAAAUGCGUAGAUAUCGUGAGGAAGACCAGUGGCGAAGGCGGGUCUCUGGGCCGAUACUGACGCUGAGAAGCGAAAGCGUGGGGAGCGAACAGG
rnacentral:rRNA from 1 species